UCAGCUUUCUACAAGGUCCCUCUUGUUCCCUCCCACUCCUACGACAGAAAGGGGAACGCUCAAAACUUGAACCUGCUCUCCAGACGCCUCGGCCUUCCUCACCAGCUCACUUUGUGUCGUUCCUUCUCUACGCUCCUCUCCCCCCGUCCCUCUCCCUUCCUCUCUGGGCUGUGUGUAAGAGGAUCACUUUGUUUCCGUUGCCUUUUUUCCGCGGUGCUGCAGAACACUCGUAGAGGAGAGGAUUGGAUUUGAGGAGAUACUGACGGGGGUGCACAGCUGCAACAGUCCCCUCCAUCUCUACACUUGGACUAAUGCACCCCCCCUCUUUGACUCUCCCUCUGUUGCACUCUUUCUGCCUCUCGGGGUGGGGGGUGCCAUAUGGGAGCUCAGAAAAAUGGAAGUGGAUCAGAGAUAGAAGAGAGGAAUCUGUCAUUCUCGGUCUCGGAUAACGGGCUCGACGUGAGAUUGACCAUGGCAGCAAACCCCCCCGAGCGAGACACUUCCCUGAGGGUGAACAAUGCUGAUGCCAACUAAUCAGUGCCUGUGCCACAGAGCCCCAGCAACAGCUGAAGGAGCCCCCUGAAUACCAAACAGCCAGGCACAGUGCGACAAGUGCUGAGCAGUCAGACGCAGCACAGCCUGAGCGGAGCGCUGCCCAGAAACAGCCAGACAGUUUUAUUAGGGUCUGUCUGACAGAGUCUGGAACACGGUAGCUGAUGGAAUCCUCACGACUUCCCGAACAGUAACAAAGCAGCAUGUUUCCGCCAGGGACCCAAUAAAUAUCACCCCGUUAACAUCAGCUGCCGGCUAGUUUGUGAGUCCGCUGAACGGUGAAUAACAACUUUCUUCAAAGUCACACUCAGUUAGAAACUACUAAAUUCAUCUCUUCUGUGCCAUCCACACUUCACACUGUGUCUGAUGCAACAAGGAACCAACAAGGAAACUCCUGCAAGCUGCACAUUUAGUGACUGGUUGGUAAUGAGUAUUAAAUGUACAUUUAUUUGACAUCAGAAUGGCUUUGUUUUAAACAACAGCGGCAAUUGUCAUUUUUAUUUAAGUGUCAUCAAAUAUUCAAAUUUCAAUAUAAUAAGAUGCUUUCUUAGAAAAUCUGUAAGUGGUUGUCAAGGUCAAAUGACUUAACAGCAGGUGUAAUAGCAGCUUAUGAUGUCUUUCAAUACAACCAUUUAUGUACUAUGUUUAGACAAAGCCACUCAAAUUAUUUUACACAAAUGAAAAUAAUAAUGGCGAGAAAAACAAGUUUAUAAAAACUAAUCACCAAGCAGACCUUCAGAUUUACUUUUUGUUACCGGGACCUUAUCAAAAUGUAUUGUAUUAUAAAAUAUGGAGUGAUACGUUUUAUCCUCACUUGUCCUUAAU